CUAGAAAUUUGAAGUUGACCUGGCAAGCCUGUCCCUGCCUGAGCGUGAUCACCACUGAAGUAGCUGUGCAGCACGUGUUUUAAGGAAGAGGAGGAUGGUUGCAGAUGUUUGCAUUCAUGCAAGAAGGUAAGCUAUUAACUAAACUGUUAACCAAUAUUUUAGCUAAAAUUGUAUUUGGUGUAUUGACAAGCAAUGCAUGUUCUCGUUGUCUUUAUUUUUAAUGAAUUAAUGUCAGUCAUGUAUGUCUUUCGGUGGAAUCCAACAUGCAUUGAUGAUGUCUGAAAGCCGCAUUGUGUCAGAUAUACUGCGUCAUGACAGAUUGAAAUUGGCAGGUUUAUCCAAACAAUUCAUUAAUGUGCAAUUGUUACUUUGCAUGUUUCUACCUUAUAGGUAUUUGUGGCUUGCUAACGGUUAGCAUGCUACCCAUGCUAGUUAAAAAAAAAAGAAGGUAGCUAUGGUUGCAAGCUAGCUAAUAAGUUUAGCAUAAUUGGUAAACGUGUCUUUGAUUCAGAAUACAUGAUUGUGGUUAACAAUGUUGCAUGUAUUGGAAGAUAAUAUUGCUAUAGUGUAACAAGCUAGCAAGAAAAGCCAGUUCCUUUUCAUCAUUUUUGUCAAGUUAUAAGCCUGUAUGUGUGUUAAAAUAUUUAAACCCCCUCAUUAAAUUCAUGUAUUGAAGUUGCGCCCGUUUUUUAUAGCACUUUCUUACCCAAAUACCGUUUUUUACAUUGAAAUAAUUCAGAUGAAAAUAAGAAAUAUGUUAAACUAAUUAAGAAAUAAGUGACCAGAUUUUUUUUAUUGAAAACCAUGGACAUUAUUUUGGGUGGGGGGAGGGGCGUGGUGCGGUUCCUCGUUCUUCUUUUUUUUGCACAUAAAAGAGUGAAACACCACAACAAGAAUAAGGGUUGUGGAAAGUGUCAAUUUUGGUAGGACUGUGACAAUUCACUGUCUUGAAAAAUACAUACAUACAAUACAUACAUAUAUUGGCAGAUUCUUUAACCAAAUCCCUAUUUCUUACACACAUUUUUUAAGAUCGAAAACAUAAUGGAAGAUAAGAGUCCAGGAACCUACAAAGUAACCAAUGCGGUAUGUUUUCUGAUUUGCCUAGUAUUUAGAGUACGCUUGCCUUGCUUUAGCCAAACCACUCAUACUGAUUCUCUUUUAGUCCAUCCAUAAAAGAACAUUCAGCUUUAGUUGCAUGCAGGAACUUGCAUAAUGUGCUUAUUUUAUGCUUAUACUUGCUUUUUUACCUUGAAAGUAGUUUUAAAAAACAGAAAUGGUAAUAGAUGUUUGUUGGACCUCUUAGUCAAUGAUAACAGUCAUUGGUGUCCCCCAGCCCAUCCCCUGUUGUGUGCCGAGCAAUCUUGUCAUUCUAUUAAGUCUCAACUAUUCUUUUUGUCUUCCUUUACAAAGGCACUGCAGAGGCUAAGAAGGCGCAUGUAAAAUCUAAAGAAGCAUAGUUCAACUUCAACCAGAUUUGAAAAGGAAAAGAAAAGAUAAAUCCCGAAGCGCAGAUGUCAGACACCGAGGCUGCCAGUACCUCUGAGGCGGACAGUACUUCUGGGUCGAUAGUCAAUGUGUUGGAUGAUGCACCACCGUUGAUCAGAACAGACAGUAUAUACUUGACCAAAGCUAUGCUUGGAUACAAGACUGAUGACUCAAUAACCAGCAUUGGCAACAGUGUAGAUGGUUAUGUCCCAGGAUCAUCAGAGAAGGGCAAUUUUUAUGAAGAAAAUCUGACAGGAGAGAUGUCAGUGAUUCGGGCCAAAAAGUCAAUGACCAAGGGAUUGGGGCAAAAGAGAGACUCACACGGUAAGCAUGUUUCC